rnacentral:lncRNA from 1 species
CAUAUUAAAUUUUUUAGCCAAUUUUCGGAUGAUGUGAUAAAGCGCCCGAUGGAAUUCGUGACAAGUAAUCAUGUACACAAGUGGAUUGUAGAUACUAUGGAGCAUGAAUAUAUCCCACAUAAACGCAAGACAAGGGAAAUGUGCAUAGCCAAAAUGGUAGGAUGUUGACGGACAAGCUGAAAGCUGCCUGGACUUCCAAUCGAUUCACUUUUGAGGCCGCCUGUUUCCAAUAAAUUUGUCGAAAAUUGACCUGGUGGUCAGUAGUCGAUGACGAUUGAGCGUUUUCGUUGAGGUGUUGUGUUGCAUUUUGUGUUGUGCUAGGAAUCUCCGGAUUUAUAAAGAUGGUGAAUUUUAGACUGGACAUGUUUUUUGAAAACCAUUAUGGAGAAGAAAUGUGGAUUACACAGGAAUUUCCAGCAAAGUCAAGUGUAAUUACCGGAAUUGAAGUUUGAAGGCCGAACAGAAGAAUUAACAAAUCUGACUGUGACAGAAGGCUGGCGAUAACUUGGCAGAUAUUGUUGAAUGACGGCCCUUGAUUCCACGAAGAUUAAAACGUGGAGAAUGACACAAAUCAAACCCACAAACAAGUCCCAGGAAAGCACCGUAUUCAAAUGACUCAAAUUGAUGGUGCAGGCGUAAAUGGAUCGAUAGCCCAUCCAGAACGGACUGUUUUCUUGUACCAUUCGUAACGAAUUAUAGACACGUAACGAUCUAUAGCUGCCAACAGCAGACACUGCAGGAGGAUUGAGUAAUCCAUCGGAUAAAUGCGCAUUCAAGCAAGAAGAGACACUCGAAGAACGAAAUGGCAACCCAGAAGAUGUGACGUGGAUAUCGUAACUGUCUGGAACUGCUCACUACUAAGAUGACGAUGCAAUUCAGAAACGUCCCAACAGCUAUGACCAAAGUCCGGUAGAAUUCCUGAAUGAUGGAAAUGUUUUGUUCCAUGAUCUGGUAUUCGAGCAAAUUGAGCGAUACAUUUGUUGCAGGCUUCUAUAUAACCACUUGUUACCUCACUGGCGGCGAAUUCAUCCCGCAUGCGCGGCAAUUAUUCGAAUAUAGCGACUGUCGAACUUUUCCAUUACAGUAAUAAGAGAUUGUACAGCCCACGUAUGAACCAUUUAACAUUUUUUGUAGCUACACGACAUGAUUAAAGCCAGAUAUUAUUAAUUAAAUAAUUGUGUUUGUCACUGUAAUUUAGCCUCGAGAACACACGAAUUGUCAAUAACGGCUCCGUGUUGAGAUGAUUAAACGCAGCAGUCAGCCCGAUCUGCUUGUUGAUAGGUCUCGCAAAAUGAAACAAAACUUAACAACUCCAAUACUCUUACGAAAUGAUGUACAACGAGUAUGUGUAUUAUGGCAAGCCAAAGACGAAGAAGGUGCAUCUAUAGGUCAUAGACAAUUGUGUGCAUUUGCCACACAUGCUACGCUUUUAAAGAAAUGAUCGCUCAUCCUCCACACAUUUCUCUGUGUCCUUGCAUUUUAGCUGCAGGAUAUUUAGAGUUUUGGACGGAAACUCAGUCAGCAGUUUGGAUUUCAGGUGUGCCUGAGCAAGUACAACUUGGUUUAAUCUGCGGUUCUAAUGGAUUUAUUCAGACCCACUACAAUUGUGUUUCGGAGUAAGAACAUGUUCGAUUGGACAGCUGAGCUUUCUGGAGUCUGCUUGAACACGUUGCAAGAAAAGGCAAGAGACGAGAGAAAUCUAUCUUUCAAACAACUUACGUUCCAGCACUUCACAUCGUCUCAGCUGCCCGGUUCAAGCAAAGUUUGAAAAGCCCAGGAAGGACUAAUCCACGUCGUAAACAAGGUCGUUUCGCCGGCUGGAGAGUUCACAACUGUCUUCCCGAAGAGAUAUGACCACAACGCGAUAAUCACUGGUGUGGCGCUACCAUCAUCUCCGAGCAUUUUGUCCUCACAGCCGCCCAUUGCAUGGAAGAUUUUCCCAAGGUCUCUACGUUUUGCGAGUUGGUGACUACACUACCGAGGAAAGUGACAUAGAGGAUCAGUUCACUGUCGAGCAAAUGCAUCUUCCCAAAGAAUUGGGACAAGGAGGACAUUUGAAUAACGAUAUCGCUCUCUUCCGUGUCAAAACAAAAGGCAACCGAGACCUACGGUUCGAUUCUCACGCGCAGCCUCUGUGCCUUCCAACUCCGGAUACCGCCUACGUUCCAGGAACAAAUCGCACUAUCUGGUCCAUUUCCCAAGCGCGGUGGACCAGAAGUUCACCUGGUCAACCCGGAGCAGCAUUUGCAAUCAAACUACAAUCGGCUACCGUUCCGAUUUCGCUGGAUGGAACGUGUAAAACACCUUACGUGUAUGGUCCCGAUCAGAUCAAAGUUGGGAUGUUUUGUGCUGGUCUCCUCGAAGGUGGUGUAGACGCUUGUCUAGGCUAUUCUGGUGGCGGAUUAGUCUGUCUAGUUGACGGCAAGCUGACAUUAAUGGAAGUCAUCGGCUGGGGUUUCGGGUGUGGACGCCCUAGCCGCCCCGAUGUUUACACACGCGUUGUCCAUUGUCUGCCAUAUACACUUUCAGCGGAUUUUAACGGAAGUGCCCAGGUCAUAUUGGAACAUAAAAAUUUCUUUCUGUUUCUAUCCAGCAGCUGAAAAGGAUUUCACGGGGUAACCCAUUUUUGACUGAAGAGCUGUACGAUCUUCUUUUCGAGUAAAAGUUGAAGCAUAUCUGUCAUGGAGGGAAGAAUAAAAGUUUGAAAACAGCUGGGUAAUGUCAAUCAAAAGUUCUGUUUUUGGCUUUAUUUUUCCCUGUUAAUAUAAUACCUUACCGUCCUGUUUGUUUUCAACUGGGCGUUCAAUCCAGAUUGCACUGAAUCUAUCAUUCAGCAUCAGAAAGAAUGAACUGCAAUGGGGUUCAAACUCAUCUUGAUGUCCUUUAUAAAAUGUCCUUUUUUGGUUCUAUGUGUGAGUGAGUGCUGGUUUCUAGCAGUUUUUCUUUUUUCUAUGCCAGGAGACGAUGGAGCUGAUCGAUAUACUAGUUUCUUCCAUUCUCAUGGAAAACGACUACUAGCCCUGCGGAAAACAGACAACUGAACCAUGAUAACGUUUUCCUGCCCUGACCUAGACAAGUAAAGAUCGACAGCAUCGCUCAACAACAGGGCUUGUCAACUGUAUUUGGAAGCAAAGAGGAAAUGGAAAAAAGAUUGGCUGCCAAGAUAUAUGCACUGAACCGGCUGGGAAAAGACCUGCGCUGAACCUUAUAGAUCUUAUCAUGGCAUUUUUAAUAUUUCUUACGUUAGCCUAGUCAACCACUCAGCGAAAUUAGAUUGUGUGAUAAUGUGAUAUUACGUGAUUACUAGAGAGUGUGUAGGUGUACAACCUACGUGGAAAAUUCAAUGACAACCUUCGCGAUCACUGCGACAGUCUAGCAAGUUUGCAGGGUGAACGUGUAGCCUUCACAUGAUAUAAUUUCAGUUCUUGGUAUUUUCUCCGGGAGUGAUGUUGCGGCAUACGUCUAAAAUUUAUUAAGACCUUAAACAGCUUACUGUGCAGGAGCUCGCAUGAUCGUCUUUGCUGAUCCUUCUGAAUCAUUGAACAACAAGUAGCAACAAAUAAUAUCAGGAUUGGUGAAACCUGUUAGAAAAAAUUUGCAUCAAGCAAUCUUCCUCGGAUGGUCGCUGAAGCGCUGGCUUUUGAGGCAAGACUACAUAGCUUCCGAAAUAGAUACCGGCAGAACGAAGAAUCCAUCGAUUGAUGUAACGGAUUACAAGAAACAAAACGUUUGGUGCGUAAUCUAUUGUAACAAAUGUUUUCGUUGGGAAACUAAUACUUCACGGCAUGAAACUACACACCGCUACAGCAUGGAAUUGAUCGCCCAUACUCAAUUUAUAAAUGUCCUUUGUGACGUUCGUGAACAGCAAAAGGACAUUGCGUCUUCAAUCCAAGGGGAAAACAUUACGUGGCGUGCCCGCCGGAAAUCGUGACAGCUGAUCAUGUACAUGAG